rnacentral:rRNA from 1 species
AACGUAGGACUCGAGCGUUAUCCGGAGUUACUGGGCGUAAAGCGCGGGCAGGCGGAAGUCUAAGUCGGACGUGAAAGCUCCCGGCUCAACCGGGAGAGGCCGUUCGAGACUGGGCGACUGGAGGGCAGUAGAGGGACGUGGAAUUCCGGGUGGAGUGGUGAAAUGCGUAGAGAUCCGGAGGAACACCAGAGGCGAAGGCGGCGUCCUGGGCUGCACCUGACGCUGAGCCGCGAAAGCCAGGGGAGCAAACGGGAUUAGAUACCCCCGUA